CCUACGGGAUGCAGCAGUGAGGAAUAUUGGUCAAUGGGCGCGAGCCUGAACCAGCCAAGUAGCGUGAAGGAUGACUGCCCUACGGGUUGUAAACUUCUUUUAUAAAGGAAUAAAGUGAGGCACGUGUGCCUUUUUGUAUUUACUUUACGAAUAAGGAUCGGCUAACUCCGUGCCAGCAGCCUCGGUAAUACGGAGGAUCCGAGCGUUAUCCGGAUUUCUUGGGUUUAAAGGGAGCGUAGAUUGGUUGUGAAGUCAGUUGUGAAAGUUUGCGGCUCAACCGUAAAAUUGCAAUUGAUACUGGCAGUCUUGAGUACAGUUGAGGUAGGCAGAAUGCGUGGUGUAGCGGUGAAAUGCUUAGAUAUCACGAAGAACUCCGAUUGCGAAGGCAGCUUACUAAACUGCCACUGACAUUGAUGCUCGAAAGUGUGGGUAUCAAACAGGAUUAGAUACCCCAGUAGUC
rnacentral:rRNA from 1 species